rnacentral:tRNA from 1 species
ACUUGGGUAGUUUAAUAAGAAUAUAACGUUGAAAACGUUAAGGUGUUCUCCCUGGUU